AAAAUUUAGUAAUUAGUAAUGAAGUAGCAGGCAUAUUUGGAAAAUUAUGCCGAUAAGCAGGAUGGAAUUUGGGAAAAAAUGUUAUAAAUCGAGUGGCUCAUUUACGAUGUGCUCCAAACAUUUGGCGAACUUUUUUUCGCCUUUUCAACGUGCUAAGUAACAAGUUAAGAUGACUGCCAUCAUGGGCCGGUAAGAAACCGCAAGCAAAGGGCAGACAACCUUCCAGGAAGCUGCCUCCUGUCCCCGAGCCGAAGCUGCAGUUCAGCAAGAGCAGGUCAGCAAAUUGCUACCCUGAUCAAACGUAAACUAAAGCGCUCUGCUGUGAUUGCACUCCGUAAAUGUGAAAACUUGGUGCAUGCUGAGAAAUAUCAAACAAGAAAACUCCGUGAUGGACGCCGUGAGAUGGAGUAACGCUGUGUGGCAAAGAAAUGCGGCCAAUUCGACGGGCCUGAAAAAUCCAAAUUGGCUUUUGUGAUCCGCAUCCGCGGUAUCAACAAAGUUGCACAAAAAGUGCGUAGUUUUACAGUUCUGUCUUCGCCACAUUAAAACGAUGUGUUCAUCAAAUUGAGCAAGGCAACCAUUAAUAUGCUACGUAUGCCGAACCCCCUAUAUGGGGUUAUCCAAAUCUUAAAUCAGUUUGUGAAUUGAUGUACAAACGUGGAAUGGUCAAGCGUGUCCCAAUCUCUGCUUUGUGAUCGAACGCAAAUUUCGCGAAGCGCACGAAAUUCAAUGCGUUGAUUCACUUCACUUCAAGAAAGCCCCCAACUUCCUGUUGCUAUUCAAGCUCAACACAUCAACCCGAGGCUGGCGCAAGAAGGCUAAUCACUACGUUGAGGUUGGUGAUUUCGGUAGCCGUGAGGAUAAGAUCAACAAAUUGCUGCACAAGAUGGCUUAAAGAAAUUGUUGUUUUGUAUUUAAGUCGACAAUAUAAUUUGGCACAUCUUCAAAAGACGCCCACCAAAAAAAAAAAAAAAGAAAAUUAAAAAAUUCCUGAAGUUGCCUUUUCACGGGUCGAUUUCUGUCGACUGGAAAAUUUACUUAAGAUAUCGACUAGCCAAAACGCUUACAUUUUACGGUUGAAUUGCAAUUUACACGGGUAGAUUUUGGUUAAACGACAAAAAUCGACCGUGUAAAGGCAGCUUAAAUAACGUUCAAAUUAAUCACCACCUUUGAGAUGGAAAAUACCAAUAACCAUUUCAUAAUUUCGAAAAUUAUUCCAUUUAUAUUUGUUCUUGCAUUUUCCACACCACUUGUGAGGUAUGCUUUUACGCGCGUUACCGUUUUUUUUUAAUGUGCUCGGUUGCCCAGGAGGCCUAUUUUCACCUUUACAACUUAACUUAAACAGAAUUAAAACUAAAGCAUGCAAUAUAUAAAGAAAAUUAAAAGUUGUCUUACAUCUAGUAAACUUAAAAAAUUGCACAUUAAAUUCAUUUUUCAUUAUAAAAUAAAAUUAAAUAUCACAAUUCAGUUUACAAAAUGUGGUCUGUUUGCACCCACAGUAAGUUCCCAUGAAGCCUAGCCUAAAUUCAGAAUUGAAAAAAAAA